CUGUGGAAUGCGGAUGAUUCCCGAUAAAAAUCCCUUAAAUUUCUGUCCCUGGAGGAAUCCGGGCUCUUCCAGAGGCUCCUUUGGAGGAGCCCCGGGAAUUCCAUUUGACUUCCCAGCUUCCCCCGGCUCCACGGGAAAUAACAGGGACACUUUUCCAGGCGUAUCCCAACAUUCCGAAGGCUCAAGGGAGGAACCUGAAGGCAAAUCCCGACUCCAGCCCGGAUUCCUCUCACUUUUAUGGAUUCUCCCUCCCCCGAACAACAACAGCAGCAAUGAAUUUUUUAAUGCCGAAUUCCCUGACCUAAAAUUUCGGGAAUAAACAGGCGUCGGAGCGCGGAUUAACCCGGGUUUUAUGGGCUCCGCGAUCCCAAUUCCUCGGGAAGCUCGGGAUCAAGGAGGGCUGCUAAUUCCUGGUUGUGCAUGAACACGGUGACCUGGCAUUAAAAACGUCCUUAAUUAAGA